rnacentral:miRNA from 1 species
GGGUAGUACCCAAGUGUUGUG